rnacentral:rRNA from 1 species
AUUGAACGCUGGCGGCAGGCUUAACACAUGCAAGUCGAGCGGGGUGAUGGUGCUUGCACUAUCACUUAGCGGCGGACGGGUGAGUAAUGCUUAGGAAUAUGGCUAUUAGUGGGGGACAACAUCCCGAAAGGGAUGCUAAUACCGCAUACGUCCGACGGGAGAAAGCAGGGGAUCACUUGUGACCUUGCGCUAAUAGAUGAGCCUAAGUCGGAUUAGCUAGUUGGUGGGGUAAAGGCCUACCAAGGCGACGAUCUGUAGCGGGUCUGAGAGGAUGAUCCGCCACACUGGGACUGAGACACGGCCCAGACUCCUACGGGAGGCAGCAGUGGGGAAUAUUGGACAAUGGGGGGAACCCUGAUCCAGCCAUGCCGCGUGUGUGAAGAAGGCCUUAUGGUUGUAAAGCACUUUAAGCGAGGAGGAGGCUCUUUUGGUUAAUACCCAAGAUGAGUGGACGUUACUCGCAGAAUAAGCACCGGCUAACUCUGUGCCAGCCGCCGCAGUAA